UACGUAGGGUGCAAGCGUUGUCCGGAAUUAUUGGGCGUAAAGGGCGCGUAGGCGGCUCUGCACGUUCGUUGUGAAAUCGCCCGGCUCAACUGGGCGGGGUCAGCGGAUACGGCAGAGCUUGAGCAAGCUAGGGGGCAAUGGAAUUCCCGGUGUAGUGGUGGAAUGCGUAGAUAUCGGGAGGAACACCAGUGGCGAAGGCGGUUGCCUGGGGCUUUGCUGACGCUGAUGCGCGAAAGCGUGGGGAGCGAUCCGG
rnacentral:rRNA from 1 species